GGCCUAAGAGAGCCACCUGUUGACAGUUGGAGCCAGAUUUAGAUACUGUCAUGGAGUUGCUCUCUUAAGGCAA
rnacentral:pre_miRNA from 16 species